GAUGAACGCUGGCGGCGUGCCUAAUACGUGCAAGUCGAACGGAGAUUCUGUCGUAAUUCGUUACAGCGGAAAUCUCAGUGGCGAACGGGUGAGUAACGCGUUGGUGACCUGCCCCGGAGAGGGGGAUAACAGCUUGAAAGGGCUGCUAAUACCCCAUGAUGUCUAGAGGGUUAGAAACUUCUAGACGAAAGGCUUCGGUCGCUUCGGGAGGGGCCUGCGUCCCAUCAGCUAGUUGGUAGGGUAAUGGCCUACCAAGGCGAAGACGGGUAGGGGACCCGAGAGGGUGACCCCCCACAAUGGAACUGAAACACGGUCCAUACACCUACGGGUGGCAGCAGUAGGGAAUAUUGCACAAUGGGCGAAAGCCUGAUGCAGCAACGCCGCGUGCGCGAAGAAGGCCUUCGGGUUGUAAAGCGCUUUUCGGGGAGAAGAGAAAGGA
rnacentral:rRNA from 1 species